ensembl:lncRNA
AUGGCAUCAAACCGUAAUUUGAAAAGACAUUUGAAUUGCGACGGGACUCAACCAGAGACGCCCAGAACAACAAAAUACAGAAGACUUCAUCAAAAAAAGAAUCCACUGAAAUUAAUAUACAAGAGAUUUCUUUGUACAUCUCCAGUUCCCAACUCUUUGGACAGAGGAACAGUUUGUGAAAAGGAGGACAGAGAGGAAGAUGAUGGAAGUGAACAGGAAGACAGAGAGGUAUAUGAUGAAGAUGCACAGGAAGACAGAGAGGAAGAUGAUGGAAGUGAACAGGAAGACAGAGAGGUACAUGAUGAAGAUGCACAGGAAGACAGAGAGGACGAUGAUGAAGAUGCACAGGAAGACAUAGAGGAAGAUGAUGUAAGUGAACAGGAAGACAGAGAGGUACAUGAUGAAGAUGCACAGGAAGACAGAGAGGAAGAUGAUGGAAGUGAACAGGAAGACAGAGAGGUACAUGAUGAAGAUGCACAGGAAGACAGAGAGGACGAUGAUGAAGAUGCACAGGAAGACAUAGAGGAAGAUGAUGUAAGUGAACAGGAAGACAGAGAGGUACAUGAUGAAGAUGCACAGGAAGACAGAGAGGAAGAUGAUGGAAGUGAACAGGAAGACAGAGAGGUACAUGAUGAAGAUGCACAGGAAGACAGAGAGGAAGAUGAUGAAGAUGCACAGGAAGACAGAGAGGAAGAUGAUGAAGAUGCACAGGAAGACAGAGAGGAAGAUGAUGAAGAUGCACAGGAAGACAGAGAGGAAGAUGAUGAAGAUGCACAGGAAGACAGAGAGGAAGAUGAUGGAAGUGAACAGGAAGACAGAGAGGAAGAUGAUGGAAAUGAACAGGAGGACAGAGAGGAAGAUGAUGAAGAUGCACAGGAAGACAGAGAGGAAGAUGAUGGAAAUGAACAGGAGGACAGAGAGGAAGAUGGUGGAAGAAAACAACAAAGAGUCUGUGAAAUAAAAAGCCAAGAUCGAGAUGAGUUUCUUAAGAAACAGCUAGAUGAUGAUCUUGUAUACCCUGGUGCUCCUCUCACGAAGGGACAGAGUCUGCUUUUACUCAUGUCAUAUGUACUGAGGCACAAUUUGACAGGUGUAGCACUUCAGGAUCUUCUUACAUUGUUUAAUGCACAUUUCCCUGGCUUGGUGCCAGCAACCACAUACCUUUUUCAUAAAGCCUAUGGACAGUUUGGCCAGUAUAAGCCCCAUUUCUAUUGUAUCAACUGUGAAACCUACAUUGGACCCAGUGAGACAGCACCACAAAACUGUUCUUCUUGUAAUACUGAAUUUGACAUUGAGAACAGCCUAAAACUUGGGUCGUACUUUCUUGUACUUAGCCUAUCAGCCCAAAUAGUGGACAUUUUGGAAAAACCUGAUAUACAUUUGAAUACAAAGGAAUCAACUCCUGGCAUUCUUUCUGAUAUUCAGUGUGGGGCAGAAUAUCAAAAAUUCAAGCAAACUGGACAAAUGGGGGAUGAUGACAUUUCAAUUUUGUGGAACUGUGAUGGAAUUCCAGUUUUCAAAAGUAAUAAUGUUCAGAUAUGGCCAAUCCAGUGUCAAAUUGUAGAACUGUCACCAAGAGUCCAGCAAGGUAAUAUAUGCAUUCCAUGCUUAUGGCUUGGUAACAGCAAGCCAAAUAUGGCUACAUUUUUAACUGCUUUUGUUGCACAGCUUAAAGAACUGGAACAGGUUGGUAUUAAAUCUUUCAACAAAAGCAGAGACUAUAAUGGAAAAUGCAAAUGA